AAAUUGAAGAGUUUGAUCAUGGCUCAGAUUGAACGCUGGCGGCAGGCCUAACACAUGCAAGUCGAACGGUAGCACAGAGAGCUUGCUCUCGGGUGACGAGUGGCGGACGGGUGAGU
rnacentral:rRNA from 2 species